rnacentral:rRNA from 1 species
UUUGAAAGAUGGUUUCGGCUAUCGCUUACAGAUGGGCCCGCGGUGCAUUAGCUAGUUGGUAGGGUAAUGGCCUACCAAGGCAACGAUGCAUAGCCGACCUGAGAGGGGGAUCGGCCACACUGGGACUGAGACACGGCCCAGACUCCUACGGGAGGCAGCAGUAGGGAAUCUUCCGCAAUGGACGAAAGUCUGACGGAGCAACGCCGCGGGUAUGAAGAAGGUUUUCGGAUCGUAA